rnacentral:rRNA from 1 species
AGAAUCAACGCUGGCGGCGUGCCUAACACAUGCAAGUCGCACGAGAAAGGGGAGCAAUCCCUGAGUACAGUGGCGCACGGGUGAGUAACACGUGAAUCAUCUACCUCCGAGUGGGGAAUAACUGAGAGAAAUCUUAGCUAAUACCGCAUAACACUUACGAGUCAAAGCAGCAAUGCGCUUGGAGAGGAGUUCGCGGCAGAUUAGUUAGUUGGCGGGGUAAUGGCCCACCAAGACGAUGAUCUGUAUCCGGCCUGAGAGGGCGCACGGACACACUGGAACUGAAACACGGUCCAGACUCCUACGGGAGGCAGCAGUGGGGAAUUUUGCGCAAUGGGGGAAACCCUGACGCAGCAACGCCGCGUGGAGGAUGAAGCCCCUUGGGGUGUAAACUCCUUUCGAUCGGGAAGAUAAUGACGGUACCGAUAUAAGAAGCCCGGCUAACUUCGCGCCAGCAGCCGC